rnacentral:rRNA from 1 species
UACGGGGGGAGCAAGCGUUGUUCGGAUUUACUGGGCGUAAAGGGCGCGUAGGCGGUCAGCACAAGUCAGCUGUGAAAUCUCCGAGCUUAACUCGGAACUGUCAGCUGAUACUGAUCUGCUAGAGUGCGGAAGGGGCAAUCGGAAUUCUUGGUGUAGCGGUGAAAUGCGUAGAUAUCAAGAGGAACACCUGAGGUGAAGACGGGUUGCUGGGCCGACACUGACGCUGAGUGCGCGAAAGCCAGGGGAGCAAACGGG